CACAGACACGUGUCUCCGCAGCUCACACCCAUCCCCCCUUCUCUGCGCCCUCUCCUGCAGAAUUGUCUCCAAAAUCGUCAGAAAAGAGAUGAUGCUGUGGCUACCCCUCGCUUUCAUGGCAGCAAUUCCCAGAGGAGUCCAUUCGCAGAUUCAGCUGGUGGAGUCUGGGGGAGGUGUUAAAACCACAGGAGAUUCUAUCCGCAUCUCCUGUAAAGCCUCCGGAUUUCCCUUUGGAAACUAUUGGAUGUUCUGGUACCGCCAGGAUCCCGGGAAAGCAGCAGAGUGGAUCUCCUACAUUAACCCCGAUAGCACUAAAGCGGACUAUGGCCAUUCAGUGAAAGGGCGAUUCACCAUCUCCAGAGACAACCCCAGCAACCUGCUCUAUUUGCAAAUGACCGGCCUGAGACCCGAGGACACGGCGGUGUAUCACUGUGUGAGAGACACAGUGACGGGCAGGGAAUCUAAGCACGUACAAAAACAUCCCCUUUGCAGUCACAGCCCCCUGCGGGGCACAGCCCAAGGGAAGAGUCAGACACACAGAGAACUGAACCAAGGAGAAAAUGUCCCCAGCGCUGCCAGCAGCGCGGGACGGACAAGACUUUUGUGGGGCUGCAGAGUCAGGUCAGGGCUGGGGUAGCAAAUAUGAGGCAGCCGCUGUCCCAGUCCCUGCCCCUAGGGGGCAGCACCCCCGUGUUCUCUGCUGCACACCCGCCCCUCCGGGCAACCAGCGUGCCACCCCUCCCACACCCUGCCCCUAGGGGGCAGCACCCGGAUCUCUCUUCACUCCUUCAAGUCGAUGAUUGCCAAGCGGCCUCUAUGGGGCGUGAGGGGUCAGCCUUUCUUUGUUGCACCCUGGGUCCCGGGAGACCUUGGUGGAUUCCGAGCUGUGGCAGGGGGCAGCCAAAAGGGGACAGGGUCAGAUGUCACUAGCUGCUGCCAGAUCUGAUGCUGCCCCUUUGGCUUCCCCUUGGUGCCCCAGCUAGGAAGGAAACCGGGGUGUCCUGG